UGGCAUUUUGGUUGGUAAGCUUUUGCUGAACGCUAGACUUUAGAUGCCGUGUUGAAGCUUCUCUUAAAACUUUAAACCAGGGGCUGCGCGUUCUUUCUGUAGCUUCAGAGGUCAUUUUGGGUGUCAAUGAAAUAAAUGGGCUGCUCGCAUACUUCCUCGUACGUGGGAAUUGGUGAACUCUAGGAGUCAAGGACAGAGUUUUGUGCAAUCAGACUAAGAUCAGUAAAGCAAGCUUCUGAAUCUUAGGUGAGGAUCAUAACACUUAACAACGUUGGGAGCUAUGAAGUGCUUCUCAUUCUACAUUGGAGAAAAAAAGGAUGAACCGAAGAGCACAAAUACAACAUUUACUGAUGGUGAAAUGAAGAGAUCUGGAUCUGAGUUAGAUUCCCAGAAUA